rfam:Pristionchus pacificus strain PS312 contig6693, whole genome shotgun sequence.
GGUCGUAUUGCUCAGUGGUUGAGCACCCGCACACGUAUCGGAAGGUCGGGGGUUCGACUCCCUCUGCCUCCA